AUCUAUCUGGGAUUCCCAGCCCAUCCCCAACGUCACGUUGGAUGGCGAGGUGCAGUUGGUAGAGAAUGAGUCUCCGUACCCCACGACCACACUGGAAGGGCUGAACUCCACGGGACACGUUGCUCCCACAGGCGUACCUGUAACCGCUAUAAGGAAGCCGAACGUGAACAACCACAUCAUUGGUUUUUGGUAUUUGACGCGACCGGCUACUCUUAAACGACUAAAUGUCGAAAAACUAUUAUCGUAAGGCAGAACUUUAAACGAUUCCAAAUCCGCGUAUGUUACUUGCAGCGUGUGGUUUCCGUGCGAUUUCUGUUUCAUUUGGAUUGAAUCAGAAAACUCCUGGAGUUAACCUGAGGUUCCAAUGUUGCAUUUAAGUCCUGCUCGGAAAUAUUUGUUUUUCUCCGGAGUAUUUCGAUCUCGGACGGGACCGUACCAUGUUGUAUUCAUAAAGGGGGAGCAAAUGUCGUUUGGAAUAAAAAAUUAAACUUUCACAGCAACUUUUUAAAGAAAAUAUUAUUUAAAGUCAAUAUUACAUAACAUCGCUAGCUUUUUUUUAGGUUUCUUAGCAGUUUUCAGAGCCUUAUUAUAAUUAUUCAGAAAUACAUGGUCUUAUCCGUUACCGCCCUUUAACCCCCAUUUUAAACCCCAACAAGGAUUGCUUUACAUAGUGUAAUCUCAGGUAACACUUUCACGUUUGCCAUACCAACUUAAUGACUCUGAGAGAAGACUAUUUACAGCUACUCGCUUUUCUUAUCGUACAAAAAGCGUGUGUGAGAGUCCUCACUUGGAUUUUAGAUGUAAUACAUCUGGUACCUGGCUAAAUGCUAUAAUAAAAAAGAAAAACUAUGCUUAACUAGGCUUCAGACGUAGACAGGUACUAUCGGUUCUAUUUGUUGCAUUCAUAAAUAUUGUCAUUUAGAGUUUUUUUUUUUUACAAGUUAGGCUCUGUGGUUGACUGUGGGGUAAAUUUAUAAAUAAUAAUCUUACAUAAAGAGAGAAUAUACAUUCCACAAAGUAGAUGCUUGUAUAUGUAAGCAUAUAUAUAUAUAUAUAUAUAUGUAUGUAUAUUAUGAAAUUAUGUAUCAUUACCACUUUGCUAACCAAAGAAGGAAAGCCACAUGCAAGAAAACAAUGUCGUAGAAUUCACUUUGUUUUAAGACAAAGGCUUAUUUUGGGUGCAAGAUGAAUUUUAGAAUAUAUGUUGUCACUUUAAGACAAUUUUUGGUUGAGAACUUAUCGUAAAUGCCAAUGUGAACCUCAAUUUGUCGCGGUGUAACUACUGUUCAACAAUGACAAAAAACCUGCGUAGCGUAUGCCUAAAACGUUGUGAUCCAUAAGUCUUGUGUGUUGACAACAGAUUCGUUUUAAGGGAUUAAUAGGCCACAGAGGAGUUCCAGAAUCCAAUUUUAAUAAUAAAAUACUGCUUUACAGUUGUAACAAAUAUUUACACCAGUAUUCACAAAUACAAUGUUUAUGUGUCCCUUUCAUCGCAGCUUGGACUUGAAUCUCGCUGUUUACUGUAGUCCUGUUGGCGACACCUAUUUUUUCAGUCCCUUUCUGACAUUAAUUCAUUUGAAUUAAAAAAAAAACAAAACAA